CAGUAGCCGCGGUAAAACGAAGGGGGCUAGCGUUGCUCGGAAUGACUGGGCGUAAAGGGCGCGUAGGCGGCGGCCAAAGUCAGGCGUGAAAUUCCCGGGCUCAACCUGGGGGCUGCGUUUGAUACUUGGUUGCUUGAGUGGGGAAGAGGGUCGUGGAAUUCCCAGUGUAGAGGUGAAAUUCGUAGAUAUUGGGAAGAACACCGGUGGCGAAGGCGGCGACCUGGUCCUUUACUGACGCUGAGGCGCGAAAGCGUGGGGAGCAAACAGGAUUAGAUACCCCCGUAGUCCCUGUCUCUUAUAC
rnacentral:rRNA from 1 species